rnacentral:lncRNA from 1 species
GGUUCUCAUAGCACACCGGGCUGGCGCGGAAGGGAGCCAAUGGUCCGGCUUAGACACCUGCCUCUGCUCCUGCCCAACGCCCUGAGACACCAGCCCUGCUUUAAGGCAGUGUUUGGAGACAAGGCAUGAACAGUUCCUAGAGCAGUGUCUGGCACAUGUUCUGUAAUCCAAGAUGUCUGUAAAGAGCUGGGAUAUCACUAGGAAAUCAUCUUCAUCCAGACUUAUUCCUGAGUGGAAGAACUUGAAGUUCCUCAUAAAUAAGAUCCUGAAGGACAUAAAGAAUGAUGAAGAACCAAAGAAUGAUGUGGUUCUACUGAGUGACUGGCCUGAGACUCUAUACCGGGAGUCUCACCAUCCACAGAACAAGCCUUUUGUCUGCUUCUACUACUCCAUCAAGGUCAACUGUUUUGUCUCCUUAAACUGGAUGGAACCCUGUGGAAAAAUGCAGGCAAGAAAUUAUCGGAGAAAUCACUCUGGGCCAACUGCUGAAUAUUCAAGCUGAAGAUAUACAGUCCCUGCUUAUUCAUGUGGAGCAGCAGCUAAAUGAAAACUUGACCUUGUUACAAAGAGAAAAGUCAUUUACUUUUUCUUUUGAUAUACCAUGGUCUGAAGAACUUAAGGUCUUUUCUGA